rnacentral:snoRNA from 1 species
GUGACUAUACUUUUAGGGAUCAUUUCUAUAGUCUCUGAACUGAGAAAUGUUUUUCUGAACUUGUUCGGUCUCGCCAGCCACGAGGAGGAGAUGGAACGAUUCCUUCUGAGCGUGAAGCGGGCUGUGAGUGUUGCCGUUUGUGCAAGAGCUCACAGCCAUUGAUGUUCGUUCCUCCUCCUUUUCUGGGGAGGUGGAGGGAGUUGUGGAGUCCUGUAGC